rnacentral:lncRNA from 1 species
UUCUCUCCCUUCUUGAUCUCGUCGUAAGCCAUCCUCAGCGCUUCGAGCUGCAUCGUCUGAUUUCCUCCGCAAUGGCUUGCGAUGAAGAGUAAUCGCAUGAUCUUCGUUCGUCCUUUGUAAAGCGACGCGUAAGCUUCGAUGUCGAGAGGUUCGCCGCUUAUAAUAGGUCUCCGAUUAGAUGUUUCUUCGCCUCCUCCGUUAGUGCACAUCUCCAUCAUCGGUCCGCUUGAUUCUUCGUCGCGCUCCAUCGAUUCGUCGAGAUUUAGGGUUUUGUUUUUUUUUGCUCUGCUCAGAAGUUAUUUUGAGCUUCCUUUGAGUUUCUUCUCUCUUCUGAUCGGAGGGGCUGGUUAUUAAUUUUGUAUUAAGUAGAGAAAUAUACGUCGGUCCGGUUUAGGCCCAUCUCAAUAUAAUAGUUGGGUUUUUAAUUUUCUUUUCUUUUUAACACACUUAGUUGGGUCCUUGAUAAGGCCACGAAGGACCGUAUCUUGCGGACAGGUGUUAACAAAUGAGAGGAUAGAGGUUUGGUUACGCGUUGAACGCGAUCAAACUUUCCUUUCUCUCUCUCGAAUCCUCUCUUCCACGAAAAGGAAAGGCGAAUCGUCGGCGACGUCUCGGAGCAGCAACCAGCAGCAAUGGCGGUUUCUCUCUCCUCGUCGACGAUCACUCCCAUGACGCUCCAGCCGAAGCUGAAACCGAUUCAUGGCUUAGGGACACUAAAAUUCGGUUAUUUGGUGAAUUCUCAUCUUCCUAAAACCAGAACCGAUGUCUCUCUCCGGCGUAGCGCUAUCGUCGCAUCUGCCAUUACCGGCGCUUCAGGUAAGCUUAAACACCUUCUCUUUUGUUCUGUUCUGUUAUGUUAUGUUCUCUUAUGAUCUGUUAUGUUCUCUUAUGAUCUGUUCUGUAGAAACUGAGAUUCCGUAUUCCUUACGAGAUUGUAUCGAUUCUCCGACAGGAACUGAAACUGCCGAUUUGCUAGAGACAGUGAAAGUCUCGGACUUGAAAGGAAACGAGAUUCCGAUCUCUGAUUUAUGGAAGGAUAGGAAAGCCGUUGUUGCAUUUGCUCGUCAUUUCGGGUGUUGAACUAAAUUGAUCACUGUUGACAAAGUGAAACUGAUAUUAGUUGGGGAGAUGAGAUAUGAGUCCCCACAUGCGUAGAAAAAAUGUUCUCAUAAUUGAUACUGGCCCAUGGAACCAAGUGUGUACUUAGAAGUUUGACCAUAUUCACUUUCAAUGUGAGUUCCAUGCAUUUUCAGAUUCACACUUAGGAUUUGAUUCAAAGUCCAAUGAUUGAUACUUCAAAGAAGCUUAGAAAUUAAAAGUCAAGAAAACAAAGGCAGUAACAAAUAGAGCAGAGAUGAUUGUCUAGACAUAUAUCUAACAAAUAACUAAAAAACCAAAGCAAUCUUUCAUAAACAUCUUUAUAACCUUGGAAUAGACCAGUCACCAGUGCCUCUCGGGUUAGCCAAACAGAUGAAGUCCAUCUCAAUGGUUUCUUCCAGCUCUGGCAUGAUACUCAUGUUUAAGAAGGUUGGCUCUCAACAUCAUUGACCUGACAUCUCUAUCGAACUCGUUACCCAUCUGAAGCACCUUUUGGAAAGUUGCAUUCCUCUGAUCAGCGUGCCUUGCAUAGAGGAUUUUGUUGUGAGAAUCAAUCCGUGCCUGUCGGGAAUGGAAAAAAAAAGGGUUUAAUGGUUUCGAAAUGACAGUAAUAAGACAAAGUUUCUAUAUUGAAACAGAACGAACCUGUAUCUGGUUGUCUGUUAUCAAGGCUUCCAGUUCCUUCUCUAGACCAGAGACACUCGUCUUGAACGCAUCAGCCAUCCUACUCAAAUCAACAGAAACAAAUGGCAGUGUGUACUGGAUCAACGCCUUCUUCCUUAUCUGAUCAUAGAGUGUGUCGACGUGAUCAUGAAGAUGGAUGUCCAGCAGCAGAUUCGCUCUGAGACUUCCGAGAUACUCCAGACAAGAAGCAUAGCGGCUGCCAACAAGGGCAGUUAAACAUGAGAUUUGAUAGGAGAAAAAGGUUCAUGUCGUUGUGAUAGAUAAGAAUUUGGAGAAGUCUUCAUAAGCAAGACGGUAUAGAAUUCAACAUAACCCACAGUUCAGUGAGUUGGUCAGAGCCAAUGGUUAGAAUAAAUACUGAUAAAAUGGACAAGAGUUUGUAAGAAACAUGUUAGACAAGAGUUUUGCAUGAAACAUGUUACCUUGAAUAGAAAUCGUUAAUAAGUUCCCUCACUUCGGGUACUAGCUCCAAGAAAUCCCGGAAGUUGAUGUUGUCAAUCACUUUUGCCUGUCACAUAAGAUUAGUGAGUUAUGGAUCAAGGGACAAUGAAACCAAAAACUGACAACUAAUGAGAAAAAUCUUAAAGGGAUAAAUGCCUUCAAUUCUGAUCGAUCAAAGCUAGCCAGUGCACAAAGUCCUCCAUAGGUUGCAACGUCUUGAGGAGCAAUGACCUCGUUAUAUGAAUUCCCAAGUUCUGGACUAACAUCCAAAAACUGCACAAGACAAAAUCCAAGUCCAACGAUUAGACAUCAAUAAGAUCUUGAGCUUUAGAAAACGACAAUUCGACAGACCUUACGAGCAGCGAGCUUAUCCUUCUUCAGCUCCAAGUGAGCCAAUCCAGAAGCACAUCGGAGUUUAGCAGCUACAAAAGGGUCAAGGGUUUCAGGGUUCUGCUCUGCCUUGUUCACGUAGCUUGACACAUGAGUGAACUGUCCCAUCUCGAUGCUCACAAGAAUGGCGUUCAUACACAUGUGAAUAAUGUGCUUAGCCGUGGUGCAGUAGUCUCGUGUUCGAACAUAGUUCUUGAAAGCAUCACUGAGCAAACCACAAGCAUAGUAGAAGUCACCAAAAUCAUUAUGACCCAUUCUGAUGCUUUCCUUGAUCAGAUUAGUCUGCAUAAUCAAGACAGUAGAUGAAAUCACUAUUUACACAAUUACAGAGUCAAACAAGCGUUUAGAUAAAGUACUAAGCAGCACGUAAACAACGCUACUUCAAUCUCUUGAGUAAUAAUUUGAGAAACAACAUCAUAAAAGCCAGUAGUAGAGAAUCAUCAUUAAUAGACAACAAUGAACAAAUUCUGAUGCUUUCCUUGAUCAUAUUUGUCGGUAUAAUCAAAACAGAAGAAUCGCUGCUUAUGUAAUUACAUAACCAAGCAAACGAAUUAUCAGAAAAGAGCUAUAGAAACACACUUAGCAGCACAUAAACAACACACGUACUUAAUUAUAUAAGUAAUGAAGUGAAACAAUAUCAUAAACAAUCAGCGGUAGAGAAACAUGAACCCAUUCUGAUGCUUUCCUUAAACGUUUGUAUUAUCAAAUAGAAGAUGAAUCUAUAGUUCUGCAAUUAAACGAAUCACCAGAAAAAAAGAGCCACGCACACACUAAGCUACACAGAAACAACACUACACACUUCAUUGUCUAAGUAAUGAUUCACCAGAAAAGAGCGAUGCAAACACACAAAGCAGCACAUAAACAACACCACAUACUUCAUUACCUAAGUAAUGAACUGAGAAACAGCAUCAUAAGCAAUCAGCAGUAGAGAGUCAUCGUUAUACAGAUAACCAUGAACCCACUCUGAUGCUUUCCUUGAACGUUUGUAUAAUCAAAUAAAAGAUGAAUCUAUAGUUAUUCAAGUAAACGAAUCACCAAAAAAGAGCCAUGCAAACACACUAAACAGCACAUAAACAACACUACAGACCUCAUUCUCUAAGUAGUUAAUUGAGAAACAACAUUAAAAAUCAGCAGUAAAGGGUCAUAAUUAACAGAUGAGCUAUUCUGAUGCUAACGUUUGUAUAAACAAAUAGAAGAUGGAUUCAUAGUUCUGCAAGCAAAUGAAUCUCCAGAAAAAGAGCUACGUAAACACACUAAGCAGCACAUAAACAACACUACACUGAGAAACAGUAUCAUAAACAAUCAGCAGUAGAGAGACAUCGUUAUACAGGCAACCAUGAACUCAUUCUCAAUUUGUCAUAUGCUUUCCUUAAGCGUUUUGCAUAAUCAAAUAUAGUAGUUCUGUAAGCAAACGAACUACGCCUACACUAAGCAGCACAAACAACACACCGCAUACUUCAUUCUCUAAGAAUCUAAUAUAAACAGAAUCAUCAAAAUCAGUAGUAGAGAGUCACAACAAGCGAUUUACCCGAUACGAACUGAGCUCGUUCUCAAGCCUUCCUUUCUUCUGCUCAGCACGACGAUCUACACUUUCACACCAAGCCGAAUCCAUCUUGUACUUAUCCCCAAGCCUCCCGUUGAUCCUGUUAACCACGUCUCUGAACAACUGCGUGUUCUCUCCCUUCUUGAUCUCGUCGUAAGCCAUCCUCAGCGCUUCGAGCUGCAUCGUCUGAUUUCCUCCGCAAUGGCUUGCGAUGAAGAGUAAUCGCAUGAUCUUCGUUCGUCCUUUGUAAAGCGACGCGUAAGCUUCGAUGUCGAGAGGUUCGCCGCUUAUAAUAGGUCUCCGAUUAGAUGUUUCUUCGCCUCCUCCGUUAGUGCACAUCUCCAUCAUCGGUCCGCUUGAUUCUUCGUCGCGCUCCAUCGAUUCGUCGAGAUUUAGGGUUUUGUUUUUUUUUGCUCUGCUCAGAAGUUAUUUUGAGCUUCCUUUG